CGGCUUGUAUUUAAAAGCUAAUCUGGAAGGAAGAAUUUGUUUAACAUUGUAAGCCAUCCCAGUCUUAAAACAAUAUGGAUGUGUACUAAGACCAAAAGCCAAAGAAAAGAAAAAAAACCAAAGGAAUUCAAAACCCUCCAAAUGUAAUCGUACUGAUUCUCAGCUGGGACACAUCAUUCUCUUGUACUUGAGGAUUCACACACUCCACUGCGGCUGUUUUAUUUCACUCCUCGCUCAGCACAAAGUACAAUGAAAGCCAGGAGAGGAGACUUGAGAUCUGCACACUGUCAGUGGUACAUAGUUCUGGCUGUUGUUUCCGUUUGAUGCCUUCAGUUUUAUCCGAGGAUUAUACAGGAU
rnacentral:lncRNA from 1 species